rnacentral:tRNA from 1 species
GCCGCCGUAGCUCAACGGGACCAGAGCGUCGGUCUUCUAAACCGAAGGUUCCGGGUUCGAAUCCCGGCGGCGGCA